rnacentral:rRNA from 1 species
CGUUGAGCUAACCAAUACUAAUUGCCCGUGAGGCUUGACCAUAUAACACCCAAACAAUU